GAAAGACCCCAGCUUAGCAGCAGUAACGCCAUUUUGCAAGGCUGUACUUAAGAUGACUGGUUCAGGGAAAGGUUAGAACACUGAGUAUACAGCGGCUGCCAAGCAGGAGAUGUUUGGUUGAAGGCCUGGCAACAGGAUGACUGGGGUUGAGCACCUGACAAUAAGAAAAAGCCCCGGGAGAGGUCCCACACCCUGGUGGGGGGCCGAGUCAGUUGUUAUGUUUCAAGAAGGUAGCUUGGAAACUUGCCCCCAGGCUAAACUCUUGGGGGGCCGAGUCAGCCGUUAUGUUUCAGGAAGGUAGCUAAGAAACAUUAGAAUCCACCAAUGAUAUCCCUGUAACCAUGCAUCUGCUUCUGUAUGCUUGCUUCUGCUCCCCAAAAUCCUAUAAAAGCCCAUCCUUGGUUCCGUGGGGCGCGCCAGUCCCCCGAGUGACUGAAGCGCCCGCAGGUGCCUGUGCCUGUGUAUCCCGACAAUAAACCAAAUCCUCUUGCUGAUUGCAUCCUGUGGUGUCUCGGUCUGGUCUUUGGAGUUAGAGGGUCUCCAUCCCGAGGGAAAGUUCUCCCUGAGAGCUUUUCAUUUGGUGCAUUGGCCGGGAAAGGAGAUCCUCCACCCAGGGACCACCGACCACCCACUGGGAGGUAAGCCGGCCGGCAUCUGUCUGUCUGUCUGAUUUUGUCUCGUUCUGCCUUAUUCUGUCUGUUCUGUGAGCGCUCAGCCAGGUCUGUUCUGUGAGCGCUCAGCCAGGUUGUUUGGAAUUUGGGCGGGACGAAGAAGGAGCUGACGAGCUCGGACUUCUCGCCCCGCAGCCCUGGAAGACGUUCCAAGGGUGUUGGGGCCCGACUUUUCGGGGCCCAAUCUGGGAGAGGAGAAAGAUCCGGACUAACGGCACCUCUGUCUGUAUUUUUGGCUUUCAGAGGGCCCCGGACCUUUGCCACCUCUAUCUGAGAAUGAUCCGGACUAACGGCACUCUGUCUGUAUUUUUGGCUUUCAGAGGGCCCCGGACCUUUGCCACCUCCAUCUGACUUUUUGCUUUCAGUUUGGUACCAAAAGCCGUGCAGCACGCCUGUCUGUUGUUUGUUUGACUGUUGGUGUUGUUUGUUUUCUCUGUGUUCUAAUCUUCCUUAGAACUAACAUGGGACAGUCCCUAACAAUGCCCCUAAGUCUCACUCUUGAUCAUUGAGAAGACGUCCACGACCGGGCACACAACCAGUCCGUCGAGGUUAAAAAAAAAAAAAAAAAGGCUGUAUGACAGACUCUCUGCACAUCUGAGUGGCCCACUUUCGGAGCGGGAUGGCCAGUAAAUGGCACAUUUAAUAAGAUCAUUAUUUUACAGGUUAAAGAUCGGGUCGUCCACGGACAUCCUGACCAGGUUUCUUAUAUUAUCACUUGAGAGAGUCUCGCCUUAAUCCCCCCCCCCCCGGGCGGAACCCUUCGUGGACCCGAAUUGGCCUCCCCUCAACCCCCAGCCUGUCCCCUCGGCCCCGCCCGGUCUGCCGGCCACGUCUUCCUCUCUCUACCUUUGUGAAAUCAGAGCCUUCUAAGAAACCUGUCCUCCCGGCAGACCCAAACUCCCCUCUCAUAGAUCUUCUCUCUGACAGGCCCGGCUAAAACGGAGGAGGCAGAGCCGCAGGCCAGAUCAGUUGCCGGGCCACAGUCUGAUAAGGGUUUCUCCCCUGUCGCAGGGAGAUUGCGCAAUAAGCUCGAGGUGAUGCCAGAUACAACCUCCCAGGCUUUCCCACUUAGACAGGGAACCGGUGGCCAGACCCAAUACUGGCCGUUUUCAGCAGCUGACAUUUACAAUUAGAAACAAAACAACCCUUCUUUCUCCAGAGACCCGGUGGCACUCACCGACCUAAUAGAAUCUGUUUUACUUACUCACCAGCCUAUUAAGGAUGACUGCCAACAGCUCUUACAGGCCCUCUUAACCUCAGAAAAAAAAAAAAAAAAAAAAAAAAAAAACAAAGAGCGUUCCUAGAGGCCAGAAAGCAUGUUCUGGGAGAUGAUGGGCGUCCCACCCAGCUGCCUGAGGACCAAACUGGGAUUUUAAUACAGCUGAAGGUAAGGGACACCUACGCCUUUAUCGCCAGUUGCUUCUAGCGGGUCUCCGAGGGGCUAUACGACGCCCUACUAAUUUGGCUCAGGUAAAACAGGUAUUACAGGAAGCAGGGGAAACUCCCUCCGCCUUUCUAGAGAGACUUAAGGAGGCCUACCGUAUGUACACUCCCUAUGACCCAGAUGACCCAGGACAAAUGACGAGUGUCUCUAUGUCCUUCAUCUGGCAGGCUGCUCCAGAUAUCAGGA
ensembl:lncRNA